UGUUUCGUGGUCGAGUGGUAAGGACACAAGUAUCUCACACUGAAGUCCCGGGUUCGAUUCCCGGUCAAGGAGCUGGGAUAG